rnacentral:rRNA from 1 species
CCUACGGGAGGCAGCAGUGAGGAAUAUUGGUCAAUGGGCUUACGCCUGAACCAGCCAAGUCGCGUGAGGGAAGACUGCCCUAUGGGUUGUAAACCUCUUUUGUCAGGGAGCAACGCCGGCUACGUGUAGCCGGACUGAGAGUACCUGAAGAAAAAGCAUCGGCUAACUCCGUGCCAGCAGCCGCGGUAAUACGGAGGAUGCGAGCGUUAUCCGGAUUUAUUGGGUUUAAAGGGUGCGUAGGCGGAAUGCCAAGUCAGCGGGAAAAUCGCGGGGCUAAACCUCGCUCAGCCGUUGAAACUGGCGUUUGUGAGUGGGCGAGAGGGAGGCGGAA